rnacentral:lncRNA from 7 species
AAAUUCUGGUCAUACAAAAGUAUCUGGGACACAGCUUCAGUCUUACAGUGGAAGUUUUGCUGCCCUGAUCCCUGCCUGGAAGUUCAGGGACGUGAGAAGCAUGGGAAGACUGACUGGCAGUGAAGAUUAAGGCAAAGAACCCAACUCUGAGAUGACAUUUUCCCUGACUGUAUUAUCAUCAUUCAACAACUCCAUUGGGUCAACAAGAAAGGUACAGAUAAUGCACAGCAAGAAGUCCAAAAGAAAGAAGAUUAAACUGUAAUGUAAUGCGAUAAAAGAAGAAGGUAAUUUAUUUGUUUUUGCCAGAUUUCAUCAGAGAAAAAAUAUAUAUGUAUAUUUUCAUUGUCCUGAGAAUUAAACUGUCUAGUUCAUCAGAAAUGAAGGAUUUUAACAAUGGAUUCUUUAUAAAGAAAAUGAAUUAUUUUCUUGUGGAUAAGUCUGAGUUAAUCUUACUAGUUCAGAUUUUAUUUGAAGACAUUGAUUUUCCUUAUAUCUUCAUUUUGAUCUGGUGGGCUCUUAUACACUAAUUUGUUAGAGUUGAAAGUAAUUUCUUUGUAGGGAUCGUUGAUGUGAGAAUGGACAGGAAGGCUGUUUCAUACCCAUUUUUACAUAGUUUUAAUACAGACCUGUUGUAUGCCCAUAGGUGUUUAUCAGAGCUUUAUGUUUGCACUGAUCACCUACAAUCUUUGUUCUGAAUCAUUAUAGCUUCUCUGAGGGUUUCAGAUCACAGCUUCAUCCAAUGUAUGCUAACUAUUCCCUUCCCUAAAACUUCUUCCUUCCACAGGAAAUAUAGUAUUGUCUUCUGUAUGAUAUUCAGUUUCAGAAAUGUUGCUUCAACUUUAGCUAGUACAGGCUGCUGCUGUUUUUCUAUUUCUGAGAAAUUUAGAAGUAGGAAACGUUUUAUUAUCAAUAAUACGUGAAACAAAGAACCACAAGCCUUCAAGAGAGUCUGUAGGAGUUUUAGCUGGGAACUGAAGAACUGAACAGAACUGUUGCCUGACAACACCAACAAAAUAAAUAUCU